rnacentral:tRNA from 1 species
GGGGAUGUAGCUCAGUUGGUAGAGUGUUUGCCUUGCAUGUACAGGGCCCUGGGUUCAAUCCCCAGCUCCAUCA